rnacentral:lncRNA from 1 species
AUUCAAUUUGUACCAGGUAUGUAGAUACAUGUUUUCUUUAAUAAAAUUACUACUAUAAUAACUAUUAAAAAAAAUUCUAUGGUCGAAUUAAAUUUAAAAAGUUUUUUCGUAUGAAAUAAUAUAUCAUUUAAAAAAUCUCGAAAUAUGAAGUUACAGUAACUGUUACAGCCAAUUUCAACUUGUUCAAAAAACAAUCUGUUGUGUUCACUAAAUAUAUAAUGAUCAAGUGUUCUGCGACAACAAGCAUCUAUAGUUUAAUACAAUCUAAAGUAAAGUUUAUGUUGACUUUAAGAAAGAGUUAUGGUUGUAAUAUGGAAUUUGCUCCGAUCCGCUUUUUUAAUUUGAAGUGUUGUCUUUUUACAUAUGAAACAAGCAUGGGACUUUUAGCUGUAUGAAUGUAUUGUAUUUAAUAUUGAAUAAUUUUUGAAGCGUCCAGCGUCGGCCAUUUUAUUACUAUUAUAAUAUUUAUCUUCAGGGACAAAUAUAACAAGACAAUGAAAUAGUAUUAUUGCCUUUUUGGCCUUAAAUUCCCGUUAUUAAAAAGAUCUUUUAAAUUAUAACAAGAGGCUGUCACAACGACAGCAAACCGGAUUUAUUAACAUUUAUUUGUGUCCUGGCAAUAUCACACGAACCAUAACUGAUGAGCGGUGAAAGUGAAUAUAUCAAUAUCAAAUUUGACCUCCAUUUUGUAUCAACAUAUUUAAAUUUGAAAGAGCUAAGGUUGAAUGGUUCAUGAGUAAAUGCAACAACAUGAAUGGAAACGCCAUUUUUUUUAUCUUUCAAGAACCAUAACUCCUGAAUGGUAAAAGUCAAAAUCGAUAUUAUUGAAAUUGACCUCCAUUUUGUCAUCAGUAACAACAUAUUAAAAUUUGAAACGCUUUGGUUGAACACUUCAUGAGUAAAUGCACGGACACGACUGGAAACGCCAUUUUUCAAUCUUUCAAGAACCAUAACUCCUAAACGGUACAAGUCAAAAUCGUCAUUCUUGAACUUGACCUUCAUUUUGUUGUCAGUAACAAUGAACGGAUGAACGGUUCAUGAGUAAAUGCACGGACAACAUUUGGUUGCCGCCCGACCGACAGCCCGCCAUACAUCCCCAAUCCAAUAACCGACAUUUUUGUCACAAAAAUCCGGUUAAAAAUCUUAGAACUGUGUUAAUAACCAUGCCUGUAUUGCAGAUGAAGAUGUUGGCACAUGGUUUGGUUUUACUGGUAGUUGUAGUGAUUGUUCAGUCUGGAAUACCUGGAAUAAGUAAUUAUUAUAGUUAUAAUUAUGCUAAUUUAAAAUAUAAGUACUACCCAGCUGAUGUGCACGCUUAUUUUGCAGUUUUCCAUUUUUCCAUCUAAUUUCCAUUGUGGAAACAUUCUGCGUAGCCAAGAAACAUCACAAAAAUUUAAGAGAAGCUUUAUUAUAAAUAUUGAAAUAAUCUCACCAAAUAUAAAGUUGUUUCUUUGGGUGUGCAAAUACUUUUCUAGUAUAUAGAAUAUACUUAAAACUUUAUGAAAAAACAAUGAAAAUCAAGAAAUUUUGCAAAAUAUGAAAAUUAUAUUAAAGAUCAGUGCAAUAUUUGUUUUAUUUUCUGAAUGCCUUGUACUUUAGUCUGGUUUGCACACAUUCAAUGCAGUAAUAUUUAGGCCAAAUAAGGGCCUUAUUAUCCGUACUCCUUUUACAAAAAUAUUGUUGACUAUUUUAGAUAUUUUAAUCUUUGAUGAUACUAUUUUUACCAGUAAAAGGUUGUCCAGGUUGCAGUGUAAAAGGAGUUUGCUAUUUCCCCAAUCAAGAAUGGAAACAAGGUUGUUGGACAAAGAAAUGUUCUGUUUAUUCCAAUGGUUUCGUACAAGGAUGGAGAACACCAGUAGUGAAAACAC